GCUGGUGACCAAAAGCCACUCUGCCUGGAACUUCUUCACUCAGGCACUGAAAAAUAAAGAUGAUAUUUCUCCUCCAACUCAUUUCCAUUUUAGCAGUCUUCCAUGGUGUCCAAAUGGAGGUGCAGCUGGUGGAAUCUGGAGGAGAUAUAAAAAAGCCUGGAGAAUCCCUCCGUCUCUCCUGCCAAGGUUCAGGCUUCACCUUCAGCAGCUAUGAGAUGGCCUGGGUGAGACAGGCUCCAGGGAAAGGACUGGAAUGUGUUGCAUGGAUCGAAGAUGAUGGAGAUGACAGCAGCCAAUACUAUGCCAAUUCAGUCAAAGGCCGUUUCACCAUCUCUCGGCGAGAUGCCUCCAGCAUGGUUUAUCUCCAAAUGAACAACUUGAAACUGGAGGACACCGCUGUGUAUUACUGUGCCAGAGACUCACAGUGA